rnacentral:misc_RNA from 1 species
UUUCCGUAGGUGAACCUGCGGAAGGACCAUUAUCGAGUUUUGACUGUGUUGUUGUUGGCCUUCCUAGGCAUUUGCACGUUCUGCUCAUCCACUCUUCACCUGUGUACUUAUCGUGUGUUCCAGAUCGUGACGCGUGCUUUCUUACCUGAGCUUGUGAAGCAUGACUGUGCUUCCCUUUCUUAUAUACACUAAAAAGUAUCAGAAUGUGUCUUACGAUGUAAUGCAUCUAUAUACAACUUACAGCAACGGAUCUCUUGGCUCCCGCCGCGUUGAAUAACG